rnacentral:rRNA from 1 species
UACAGAGGUCUCAAGCGUUGUUCGGAUUCAUUGGGCGUAAAGGGUGCGUAGGCGGCGCGGUAAGUCGGGUGUGAAAUCUCGGGGCUUAACUCCGAAACUGCAUUCGAUACUGCCGUGCUUGAGGACUGGAGAGGAGACUGGAAUUUACGGUGGAGCAGUGAAAUGCGUAGAGAUCGUAAGGAAGACCAGUGGCGAAGGCGGGUCUCUGGACAGUUCCUGACGCUGAGGCACGAAGGUCAGGGGAGCAAACGGG